GACAGAGUUAGGGAGGGAGUGACUAGUGACAGAGUGAGGGAGCGGGUGACACAGUGACAGAGUUAGGGAGGGAGUGACUAGUGACAGAGAGAUGGAUGGGGUGACUAGUGACAGUCACCACCUCCCUCACUCUGUCACUAGUCACCCCUCCCUUCCCUCACUCUGCCACUAGUCACCCCUUCCCUCACUCUAUCACCUGUCACCCCCUCACUCUGUCACUAGUCACCCCCUCACUCUGUCACUAGUCACCCCCUCACUCUAGU